GGAGUUGGCCAGGCGGCCGCGGCGGCUUCGUGCCGUCGAGGAAAGUCCGGACUCCGCAGGGCAGGACGCUGGGUAACACCCAGGCGCGGUGACGCGUGGAAAGUGCAACAGAAAGCAGACCGCCAGGGGCCGACCUCGAGUCGGUACCGGUGAGGGUGAAACGGUGCGGUAAGAGCGCACCGGCGCCGGC
rnacentral:RNase_P_RNA from 1 species